GAUGAACGCUGGCGGCGUGCCUAAUACAUGCAAGUCGAGCGAACAGACGAGGAGCUUGCUGCUCUGUCGUUGGCGGCGGACGGGUGAGUAACACGUGACUAACCUGCCUAUAAGGAUGGGAUAACUUCGAGAAACCGGAGCUCAUACCGGGUGAUAUAUUGAACCGCAUGGUUCAUUAGUGGAAGACGGUUUUGCUGUCCCUUUUAGAUGGAACCGCGCCGCAUUAGCUAGUUUGUAAGGUAACGGCCUACAAAGGCAACGAUGCGUAGCCGACGGCAGAGACGGGUCGCCCACACUGGAAGUGGGCCACGCUCCAGGCUCCUGCGGGACGCAGCAGUAGGGAAUCUUCCGCAACGGGCGAAAGCCUGACGGAGCAACGGCGCGUGAGUUACAGAGGUCCUCGGAUCGUAAAACUCUGUUAUUAGUGAAGAACAAAUUUGUAAGUAACUGUGCACGUCUUGACGGUACCUAAACAGAAAGCCCCGGCUAACUACGUG
rnacentral:rRNA from 1 species